AGGAUAAACGCUGGCGGCGUGCCUAACACAUGCAAGUCGAACGUCCUACGCAAGUAGGGAGUGGCGGACGGGUGAGUAACACGUGGGCAAUCUACCUUUCGGUGAGGAAUACCGGCGAGAAAUCGCCGACAAAUACCGCAUACGCUUCGCAAGAAGCAAAGCCGCAAGACGCCGGAGGAGGAGCCUGCGCCCGAUUAGUUAGUUGGCGGGGUAAUGGCCCACCAAGACAGUGAUCUGUA
rnacentral:rRNA from 1 species